rnacentral:rRNA from 1 species
CCUACGGGAGACAGCAGUGGGGAAUAUUGGGCAAUGGGCGCAAGCCUGACCCAGCAACGCCGCGUGAAGGAAGAAGGCUUUCGGGUUGUAAACUUUUUUUCUCAGGGACGAAGCAAGUGACGGUACCUGAGGAAUAAGCCACGGCUAACUACGUGCCAGCAGCCGCGUUAUUACGUAGGUGGCAAGCGUUAUCCGGAUUUAGUGGGUGUAAAGGGCGUGUAGGGGGGAAAGCAAGUCAGAUGUGAAAACCAUGGGCUCAACCUGUGGCCUGCAUGUGAAACUGUUUUUCUUGAGUACUGGGGAGGCAGACGGAAUUCCUAGUGGAGCGGUGAAAUGCGUAGAUAUUAGGAGGAACACCAGUGGCGAAGGCGGUCUGCUGGACAGCAACUGACGCUGAGGCGCGAAAGCGUGGGGAGCAAACAGGAUUAGAUACCCGGGUAGUC